rnacentral:rRNA from 1 species
AAACGAUUGAAGUCAGACGUGCGUGAUGCGGUUCAGCUCUGGUUCGCCAGGGUGUAUUCCGUAUCUUUGCAGGCCAACAUCGGUUUUGUUAGUCGGAUAAAGAUUAGUUGAAUGUGGCAUCUUCGGGUGUGUUAUAGCUUCUAAUUGAAUACGAUUGAUGAGACCGAGGAACGCAGCGCGCCGCAAGGCAAAGGUUCCGACCUUUUCGCGCUUAGGAUGUUGGUGAAAUGGCUUUAAACGA